UGGGCAUAGAGUCCCACAAAACUAUAUGGUCCGGUCAAGAGAUCUCACAUCGUGUUGUCUUUGGGGGGAUGAUAAAGGAGCACCAAGCAUUUUCUUCUCUAAGUCAGAAAGCUAGAAGUGCCUUAUGCUUUUUUUGUUGGUGUUUCUUUUUUUGCUUGCGUAUGUGAGGAGAGUGACUUCCCCGGAACAAUUUGCUUAGGCAACAGAUGAGAAUCAAGGAAUGACAUAGCAUUUUCUGAGGAGAAAAUAACAUCUGCUCUGCCAUGAGGAGAAAUUGCAGUAGAGGCUGAAAACAGGAGACUUUUCCCUUUCCUUCAUCGGGUUUUCGCUGAGGAAGUUUCACCCUGAGCUAACAUCCGCGACCAGUCUUUCUCUUUUUGUAUGUGAGCUGCCAUCACAGUGUGGCCACUGACAGACGAGUGGUGUGGGUCCGCACCUGGGAACUGAACCCUGGUCACUGAAGCAGAGAGUGCUGAACUUAACCACUAGGCCACCAGAGCUGGCCAAAAUUUACUGUCUGAUUUCAAUGUUGACAAUCAACCGAGUAAUAAUGACCUUUAUUUUUCCCACCAGGAUGGGAUCCUAGCUAGUGCCAGGUAUUCUGUCUCUUUCUCAGUUCUCUCCUGCCUCCUUUAAUCUGAAAACAUUUCAUAGACUUCCUUUGUCUUGUCUACAUUCAUACUUUUGCAGAAUAUGUUUCCCCCACCUUUGAAAAAUAGAAUAAGUGUUCUUCAUUCUUUGUUGGUCUGACGUUUCGUCAUGAGGAGGCAAGGAAACUCAAUAUUACACAGGCGGUGUUGUGACUGUCUCAGGGUCUCCCUUCUGGAGGUACAGGUUAUUCAUCUGUCCCUAACUGGUGGUAUUGAUUUUGAUCACCCCACUCCAUCAUGGAAUUGUCCGCUUCCUCCACCAUAUAAUUACUAUUUUUCCCUUGCAACUAAUAAGCAGCCUGUGGGGAGACUGAAGGAUGUCUCUCUGGCACUUGGAAGCACCAGUCACAGGGAGAAGUGAAUGUGUGUGAGGGUGGAAGGAAGGUCUUCCCUUCCAUGGGAAUGUGAGGAGAGUGGGAUAUGCGCUCCCUCCACCCACACCUGGAAAGUCUGCACAUCUAUUCAUUAUGAGGCUUACAGAUGUCACAGGGCAUUCCUUAGGGCUUAGACACUGCUCUCAGGUAGAGCAUUUGGGGCUUGGAUGUUUCCAGGCACUGGUGAGUCAAGCUUGCAUUUUUGAAAUUAUAAAGCAGCUGAGAUGUCUCCUGAAAGACAAAGGAUUGGGAUCCUAACCCUUAAUGCUGUCGUCAAGGAUCACACACAUAUAUUGAAACUGUCUGAGACCGGAUUUCAGGAAAGGGUAUUAGUCCCCCAAAGGGAGACUGACAGUAGCAGAAAUGUAAAUCUGGACUGGUUUCACACCCAAGCCUGGGAGAAGUUGCACUGAAAGACUGAUCUAGAGUGUGAGAAAUAACCGAUAGAAGAACUUGUCCCACACCAGCACCCUGGCAGUGGGUCUAUAGAAGAGAACUGGCUAUGAGCCCAGUAGGAUUGGCCCAGCCCAUCUUACCAGGGAGCAUCUUGGCUCUGCAGGAGGAGAAGCAGAGCCCACGCUUCUUUACUUACCCAUAGUGUAUGAAGCAUCUGAGCUCUUACACAGUCAAAAUAUUCACACGGACACAUGUAAUAUUAAAGAAAGUGGGCCAAAAAGAGAGGAAAGGGAGUAAUUUAGACAGAAAAGAUUAGAUGAAGAGAAAAGUUAGGACUCAGAUAUUCAAGCCACGGGUUAUUAAAUAGUUACUGACAUUGGGUAUCAAAUUUGUCUCUGAUCUUCUUGGUACUAUAGGCAAAAAGAAAAACAUGAUCAAUUAGCUACAAAAACCUCAUUUUCAUAAGAAAAAGCUUGUCAAUUACUCAGGAGAGACAAAACAUUUUCCCAUGCUUAAGUAUGAAUAGUUCUGCCUAUAGUUUGUCUGCUGAUAGUAAAGCUUUUCUUCCAUUUAGUCUUUUGUCAAUUUUCUCUGUAAUUGAUUUUUGCUUGUAGGCGCCAUGGUUGAAAGGUCUGUAAACGCUGUGAUGGGCUAAAGAUCUGAGUAUCAGGAUGGGGAUAUAACAAAAGUGUUGAGUCGUGUCAAGAGAGCACAUGGGGUGAUGUAACUUCAUAGUUAUCCAAAACCAUGUAUUCUAAAUUCAGGGACAGAGGGUUUGGUCUGGUUGUACCAACUACACAAG
rnacentral:lncRNA from 1 species